rnacentral:rRNA from 1 species
UCCAGCAAAGUUACUUCCUGUGCAUUUCCCAACUUCAUUGGAAUUUGGCUGCUAAGCAGGGCGAGGCCUUGUUAGUUCUUGGAUGGGGGACCCCCAGGGAACACCAAGGAUCUGCAGGGA